rnacentral:tRNA from 1 species
GCCUCCGUGGUGUAGUGGUCAGCACGCUCGACUCGUAACCGAGAGGUCCACGGCUCGAUUCCCGUCGAGAGCA